GUUCCCCGUUAUUUUCAUCGUGAUAGGGUUGUCCUUAUCCUUAUCUCGAAUUUACAGUUAUUUCAGUAGAUUUUUUCUUUUCCAAGGAAAACUCCAAAGUUAGUUUCCUUUUUUUGCUUUAUUCAUUAAUUUUACACUUUCUAUGUGUUUUCUUUAGAAUCGAUUGUCAAUAAUCGAAAAAUAUAAUAUGAUAUUUUUCAUCUUACAAAUCAAAGUUUUGAUAAUCAAGUUUUAAUAAGUGAAGUUGGUGCCCUAUAAAAAGAAAAACUCUGACUUAGUGACAGAAAAACUCCAAGACCUCACAUCGUACAAUGUCACAAGAAGAUGAAAAUAUCGUGCAAGACAAUGAACCUGCUACUUCUGCAAACAUAUCCGAUUACCUUCUGUCUCUAAGUUGGAAUAAUGCCAUUUUGGGAGCAGUAUACUAUGAUUUGAACUCAAUGGAACUCACAAUUGUCCAAGAAACGGUUGAUACUCGUCCCAGUUUCAUGUAUCUGAACAAUUUGCUUCGUCAAAUCUGCCCGGCUUAUCUGCUGAUCAAUGGACCCACUUCAUUUGCCAAUGAAAUUUUGGAUCAUCUUGACUUACCUGAGGA